rnacentral:rRNA from 1 species
CAACGAUGAAGAACGCAGCGAAACGCGAAAGGUAAUGCGAAUUGCAGAAUCAGUGAGUCAUCGAAUUUUUGAACGCACAUUGCGCCUCUCGGUAUUCCGGGAGGCACGCCUGUUCGAGCGCCAUUACAAACUCCAAGCUGUUUGCUUGAUGUUGGAC